GGGCAUUUCAAUAAUAUAACCUUAAUUAUUCUUAACUUGGAUGAACUCACCAAGUCUUUCAAAUACAACUCUAAUGGCUAGUUUUUCCAUAUGCUUGGAAACUUAUAACCAUCCAACAUUUUCAGAUGAUACAUUGUAGAUACACUACACUACACUACAUCCAACACACUUACUUCUCAGAUCAAUAAAUAUGGGACAGCCUUGAGUGAAACUGAAACAUGCCUUGAUAUACUUGCAAUCCAGAAAUAAUGAAAAAAUCGGAUUUGUUCCACCCAUUGCCUUUAUUCAUAUGUACCUAAAUGAGUCAUUUUUUGUGGCCAUCAAAAUGAACAAUAACCAUCUUCUCUCUUCAGAAAGAUCUCGAUUUGUUCGAGUGCCUCGAUUGCUAUGGCCAUAGGCGUGACAUUAGAUACGUCUUUAGUACCGAGUUUGGCUGCAAUUUUUUCGCAGGAAACUUU
rnacentral:misc_RNA from 1 species